rnacentral:misc_RNA from 1 species
AGGUGUACCGUCACUGCGGUCAGAAGGAGACGGUAAUCUUCUGCGACCGCAUCAUGGCGCUCGGCUUCUACAACGCCUUCAAGGCGGGCAUCUCGUUCGGCAAAGACGACAUGGUCGUGCCGCACGGCNNNNNNNNNNNGACACCCGCACGAUGGCGAAGGACUUCGAGCAGCAAUACAACGACGGCCUGAUCACUCAGGGCGAGAAGUACAACAAGGUGGUCGACGCCUGGGCGAAAG